CACAAGGUGUGCACUGGCCCACUUCUCUCCCCACUCCACAGCAGGCCUCGCAGACGGUCCCUCUGCCUGUCAUCCAUGGUCCUUUAAACCAGUAUGUGCCAGGCACUCUGCUGGGUGCUGAAGGAAAAGCAACGACCCGGCCAGCGUGGGGACUUGUGACUUGAUGUCAAGAACACUCCGAGCUCCCAAAUUCUAAAUUCAGGGAACUUUACCAAUCACAGACUCUUGGGAACUGAUACCUAACAGACAGCGGUCAUGAAACUGUUAAGAAUAAAUGAUCUAAAGCUUGGAGAUAAGGAAGAAGUUGACUGUGAACACUGGUAAAGCCCCCAGAGCACCAUCCGGCCUGCACUGCAGCCACCUGGGUGAGGACAGCAGGGUCAGUGAGCUGCCACUGGAGACCUGACUCUUGAAAAUAAAGCUUUCUAGGACACAACCA